GGUGAGGUAGUAGAGAGGCUGAAGGCGCUCCCCUGCUAAGGGAGUAUGCGGUCAAAAGCUGCAUCCGGGGUUCGAAUCCCCGCCUCACCGCCA
rnacentral:tRNA from 1 species